rnacentral:rRNA from 1 species
UACGUAGGGUGCGAGCGUUAAUCGGAAUUAUUGGGCGUAAAGAGCUCGUAGGCGGUUUGUCGCGUCUGCCGUGAAAGUCCGGGGCUCAACUCCGGAUCUGCGGUGGGUACGGGUAGACUAGAGUGAUGUAGGGGAGACUGGAAUUCCUGGUGUAGCGGUGAAAUGCGCAGAUAUCAGGAGGAACACCGAUGGCGAAGGCAGGUCUCUGGGCAUUAACUGACGCUGAGGAGCGAAAGCAUGGGGAGCGAACAGG